AUUCGAGCAACCGGACCCACGCAGACGGGCGGUUGACCCCUACCUCCGGGCUGAUACGCCUAGGCCAUAUAGCAAUACGCACAGUCUGGAGGACAGGCCGUCGGCGGAUACAGGGCGUCCGGAGCGUCCUCGCCGUCCUUGGUGCAUGCCGGCCAGUACGGCGAGCUCAUGGAGCUGCCCUGGCCCCCCAUCUACUGCCCCCACCCUCCCCCGUUCAAAUUUGAAUCUCACUCACAGGCUACCCUUCCCCUUCCUCCAUCCUCCGACGCCCUGCAGAGCUCGCCGUUCGACAGGCCUGGAAGAGAGGAUUCGAGCCGGCCGUGCGCGGAUAGAUGUUGAUGGGCGGCGACUCGGAGAGAUUCACCAACCUGCUCAUCAGAUUGUCAAGGCCAAUCCACGAACUUGCGUCUGAUUGUUUACCAAGCAUUCCGAUUCAUUAUUCCGAGACAACCGCCCGCGGUUCUCCGUCCAGCUUGAGCUCUGAUUCCAGCGAACGAGUCAGCGAUCCAUGGCCAGCCGGAUUGGGGAGGACGGAGAUUGCAGCAGCGAGCCAAUACGCGAUGGCGUCGAGUCGCCCACUUCAGCUGAAGGUUUCUUGUCAGAGCCAGAGUUGCAGAGUGAAUGGUGCUUGCCGGAUGAUUCGCAGGUGCCGACGUCAAGCGAGUCCCCUCCAUCAGAGCGCACCUGGAAGCCAAGGUUCUGACAUGGAGAAAUCUCCGAUUCCAGGGAAGCAGGUGCAGGAAAGAAGAGUGCGCUAGAGAAGGCUAUGAGGCGAUGCAGGGACAGGAUCUCUGAUGCCGUAAUUGAACCAGAAGAUAUAGGGAUGGACUUUGAUUCGUUGCCUGAAGCAUUUGAUUUUACAAUAUCUACUCAUGGGAGAUUGGUUUCGGAAUAAGAUACAGGUCGUCAAGGUUGAACCCUGCAAAGAGCAAAAUCAGGCAGGACAUAACAUGUGGGUGCGAGGGGAAACCUAGGCACUUGAACUCAAGAUCUGUUUGAUGCGGCUGCCAAGCUAUGAUUCGUUUGCACAGAGCAGAUGACCAUGGAUGGUACAUUCAUGAGUUCAGAAGAGAGCAUAAUCAUGGGUUGGCAAUGAACAGCGGCCGCCAAAAGAUGCAAUGGUCGUCGCAUAGAAACAUCGACCCACACACAAAGGACCCACAAUGUCGAAUGAAUGAUGCAACGUUGGAAAUAUAUGAUCAUCAAUGUUUAUAUCAAACGGUAACUUCAGAUG